ensembl:lncRNA
AUGUGUGUUGAUAAGGAAGAAGACGGAGCGAGCGUGAGCUCUGAAACCCAAUCUCCACGUGCUCCCGGAGAUCCUGUUCCCUUCUCCAUCCAGCCAGCGCAGAACAACAGUUUCUCUAUUGCCCUGGAAGGAAAAGAACAACAAUGUGAGACAUUUGUAGGCACAAACUAAUCUCCCGAACACAACCUCUAAGCGUAUUUUUUGAAAGACAGGUAAGAUUGCGGAGGUGAGCGUUUCGGCUCAAUUGCACUCCUGUCAUCUCCGUUCUCCUGAAUUGAUGUUAGUCUAAAAAAAGCACGAGUCUUGAGCUUUAUUUGCUGGUGAACACUUUCCCGUCUCAGGGUUUGGUCAAUUCCAUAUAACAUGCUCAAGUCGCAAUGUAUUUAUUCCUGAUUCUUUAUUUAUUAUCAGCUGUUUUGGAGUCUGACGGCACCCAUUCACUGCUGAGCAAGUGAUGCAAUGCUACAUUUCUCUAAAUCUCAUCUCAUCUACAUCUUGGAUGGCUUCAGGCUGAGAACAUUUUCUCAUCUCAGGUGUUUUUUAAUGUGAGACAUGCGCAGAAUUUAAUAUGAAUGUGUGCCUGUUAUUACACACAAGAACCAGGACAGAUGCACCUGCAUAUCAAGAGCCCUUUUAAGAAAACUUUGCAUCUUUGCUCUUGGCGUCUGUUUGUCUUUAUAUCCCACUGUUUCGACGCAGAGAUGAGACAUGGGCUGAAAAGGUGACUCUGUAAGCAGCUCUGGUGAUUUCAUCUGGUGAAAUUGUGCAUUUAAUCCAAUUUCUGCGAUGGUCUGAAUUCAUGUGUGAACGCUGAAAUGAGACGCAUACACCAAGGUUCGCCACUACAGAUGUGGAAGACAUGCAAAGAAGCCUUUAGACAUUGUAUAAUUAAUGAUUAUUUAUAUUCUAUCAAAGAUUACAUUUUAGAAGUGUAGCCAAUGCAUUUAACCCAUGCACACACACACACUGUCGUGUUAAACCCAUGCACUUUUUAACUAUGAAGCAUAACACAAUCUUUAUGCAACUUUGUAUGCAUUUGGAACCACAUGACAGUGAGAUAAAAAUAAGAAGAGCGCUCUUAAAAAUUAAUUAAGAGGCUUCAACAAUUAUGGCAUCUUUCCACAAAAUGUUAGUGGAAAAAACAAAGCGCUGCAGACAGUGCAUGAGAGCCCUGGGAGAUGAGCGCACAUAAAAACACCUGUGCCCCUCAAAUAUCACAGCUCCCGCCUCCGAUCUGGCUGUCUGUGCCAUAGAUCUCUCUACAGCUCUCGUUUUUCUGUUUAUUAAAGGAAAAGUUGACAUCAUAAAGGAAAUGAUGUCGUUAUCUAUCCACCCUUGUCAUUCCAAACCCGUGUGCUGUUUUUUUUUUCUUCUUCUCCUGAGGAAAACGAGGAUGCAUGGUUAUUUUACAUGCAACAACAGAUCACAGUCAAGGAUAUGAAGGAGAGCAAGUUUUAAUCCUAUAACAGUGUAGAAGCAGCCGCUGCAGGACCCCACUGUGAUUAAUAAUGCCGUGCAAGGAGCUGAUCUUUGUUUAGCUGUAGGAUUCUUAGACACCAUAUGCUGGAGGAAAACAAGCUAAUGAAAUCAAAGGAAACGCACACAUGGACCCAGAGAGUUCAGCUACAAUCAACCUCUUUUUGCACACCAGGACAAAAAUUAUAAUAAUAAUAAAAGUGCUGUUGUUUGGGAACCUCUUAUGGGUUUUUGGUUUUCUUUUUUGAAGAAAACCUAAUGUGAAAUGAUUUAGAAAAUGCCCUGUAAUUCAAAUAUCAUGGAUGCAUACUGCCAUCUAGUGACUCUAGUGAUAUUAUUCGAUGAUAUUAUUUCACUCAGAAAUGAAAUCCUGUCAUUAUUUACUCAUUUACUGGACACUAAUGAAUUACUAAGCAUUGGUGCACUGCACUAUUAAAGUUAGUUUAAACAUAAAUGCAUUACUUCAUAGAAAUCUUGUCUUAUGAAAUAUAGUUAACUAAAUUGAGAAAAAAGUAACUUGUAGCUUCUAAUGACUUUAUGCAAAAUGUACACCCCACUUUAAGGAAGACUUUAAGCCGAACAGGUGCAGCUGCUCCAUGUGACUGUUAUUGGCUAUAAUGUGAGGGAGGGAGGAGUUGUUGACAUAACACUUCUAGUUAAAUGAAAGUUAACAGACUGAAAUGAAAGGGUGGGGUGUGAGGGACAGAUAAAGCAUGUUACAUAAUAUCUCCAACAGCAGUUCAAAGAACAGUUCACUGGGUUUAUAAGUAGAGCUAGUGUCUGCUUCUCUAAAAUCAGAAGGUAUACUGGUCAAGUGUGUGU